UACGUAGGGGGCAAGCGUUGUCCGGAUUCAUUGGGCGUAAAGAGCGUGUAGGCGGCCAGGUAGGUCGGUUGUGAAAACUGGAGGCUCAACCUUCAGAGGUCGACCGAAACCAUCUGGCUAGAGUCCGGGAGAGGAGAGUGGAAUUCCUGGUGUAGCGGUGAAAUGCGUAGAUAUCGAGAGGAACACCUGCGGCGAAGGCGGGUUGCUGGGCUGACACUGACGCUGACAGCGCGAAAGCUAGGGGAGCGAACGGG
rnacentral:rRNA from 1 species